rnacentral:rRNA from 1 species
UACGGGGGGGGCAAGCGUUGUUCGGAAUUACUGGGCGUAAAGGGCUCGUAGGCGGCCAACUAAGUCGGAUGUGAAAUCCCCAGGCUUAACCUGGGAACUGCAUCCGAUACUGGAUGGCUUGAAUCCGGGAGAGGGAUGCGGAAUUCCAGGUGUAGCGGUGAAAUGCGUAGAUAUUGGGAGGAACACCAGUGGCGAAGGCGGCUCACUGGCCCGGUACUGACGCUGAGGUGCGAAAGCGUGGGGAGCAAACAGG